rnacentral:rRNA from 1 species
AUGACCGAGGAAGGAAGGCACAUCGCCGGCGAGCCCAUCCGGCCGCCGCGGCUGGAGGAUGCGGGCCUGGAGGACUGCGCGCUCCCACCGGAGUCCAUCGCCAAGGCUUUCUCCCUUGCAGCGUGGGCCGUCUCCUCCCGCCUCCCCCACCUCCCCCUUUCCGAUGACGAGGACGACGUUGACCCGCUAGCGCCUCGUGGAGGCUGCGUGGAGGACGCGGGACCCACCUACGGGGUCAUUCCCGACGCCCUUGUUGGCGCGAGGGGCGGCAGUGACGGCGGCGCCGACGAGGUCGUCGUCGGGCGCGGAGACAGGGUUGUUGUGAUCGGCCAAGAGCUGGGACGGGAUGAGGGGUGUGCCGAGGGGACCAGAGGCGGAGAGCACCGGAAGGAGGAGGGUGAUGAGAUUGUGGAGAAAGCCAUCUUGGUGAAAGAUUUCGCGUGA